AACAGGCAGCUGCUGCUGCUUCUGUCCGGCCUGCAUCUGUGAAGUCUCCUAAUGCUGGUGCUGCAGCUUUGUCAAGUACAUCUAACUCUGCUCCAAUGACAGCUGCAGCAACCGCUGCUCCAGCCCCAGCAAUGAGCUUCAAUUACCCAAAUAUGACAGGGAACGAACCUCAGUAUUUGGCAAUUUUGCAGAAUAAUGCAUAUCCAUUUACAAUGCCGACUCAUGUAGGUGCCCCGCCAGCUUAUAGAGGACCCCAUGCUCAGCCAAUGCCUUAUUUUAAUGGGUCUUUCUAUUCUUCCCAAAUGCUCCAUCCUUCUCACCUUCAGCAGCAGCAGCAACAACCACCAUCCCAGUCACAGCAAAGUCAACAAGGUCAUCAAAACCCUAGCAUUUCUAGUGGCUCAUCAU
rnacentral:lncRNA from 1 species